UUGACCUCAGAUCAGGUAGGACUAC
rnacentral:rRNA from 1 species